rnacentral:rRNA from 1 species
AUUGAACGCUGGCGGCAGGCUUAACACAUGCAAGUCGAACGAGACCUUCGGGUCUAGUGGCGCACGGGUGCGUAACGCGUGGGAAUCUGCCCUUUGCUACGGAAUAACUCAGAGAAAUUUGUGCUAAUACCGUAUAAUGUCGAAAGACCAAAGAUUUAUCGGCAAAGGAUGAGCCCGCGUAGGAUUAGCUAGUUGGUGAGGUAAAGGCUCACCAAGGCGACGAUCCUUAGCUGGUCUGAGAGGAUGAUCAGCCACACUGGGACUGAGACACGGCCCAGACUCCUACGGGAGGCAGCAGUGGGGAAUAUUGGACAAUGGGCGAAAGCCUGAUCCAGCAAUGCCGCGUGAGUGAUGAAGGCCUUAGGGUUGUAAAGCUCUUUUACCAGGGAUGAUAAUGACAGUACCUGGAGAAUAAGCUCCGGCUAACUCCGUGCCAGCAGCCGCUGUAAGAC